GACGUAGGGCGCGAGCGUUGUCCGGAUUUAUUGGGCGUAAAGAGCUCGUAGGCGGCUUGUCGCGUCGUCUGUGAAAACCCGCGGCUCAACGGCGGGCUUGCAGUCGAUACGGGCAGGCUGGAGUUCGGUAGGGGAGACUGGAAUUCCUGGUGUAGCGGUGAAAUGCGCAGAUAUCAGGAGGAACACCAAUGGCGAAAGCAGCUCUCUGGGACGGUACUGACGCUGAGACGCGAAAGCGUGGGGAGCGAACAGG
rnacentral:rRNA from 1 species